rnacentral:rRNA from 1 species
UGGUGGAGUGAUUUGUCUGGUUAAUUCCGUUAACGAACGAGACCUCGACCUGCUAAAUAGUUCGGCGAAGGCUUCGGCCUUCGUUCGUGACUUCUUAGAGGGACUAUCGGUGUGUAGCCGACGGAAGUUCGAGGCAAUAACA